rnacentral:rRNA from 1 species
UGGGGAAUCUUCCGCAAUGGACGAAAGUCUGACGGAGCAACGCCGCGUGAGUGAUGACGGUCUUCGGAUUGUAAAGCUCUGUUAAUCGGGACGAAUGGUUUGUGUGCAAAUAGUGCAUAGACAUGACGGUACCGGAAUAGAAAGCCACGGCUAACUACGUGCCAGCAGCCGCGGUAAUACGUAGGUGGCAAGCGUUGUCCGGAAUUAUUGGGCGUAAAGCGCGCGCAGGCGGACUAGCCAGUCAGUCUUAAAAGUUCGGGGCUUAACCCCGUGAUGGGAUUGAAACUACUAGUCGAGAGUAUCGGAGAGGAAAGUGGAAUUCCUAGUGUAGCGGUGAAAUGCGUAGAUAUUAGGAAGAACACCAGUGGCGAAGGCGACUUUCUGGACGAACACUGACGCUGAGGCGCGAAAGCCAGGGGAGCGAACGGG